CUGACAGCCCUAAUAUUUAUACAAGAUUUUCAUACUCAGUCACUCUCAAAUUUUCAGGAUAAGCAGAGCGCGUGACUGUUGGACACUGGAUGAUUAGCCUUGACGGUCAUAUCCUGUGCGAGGGCAUCCAACCAACACUUGUGACGGGGCUGUUUUCAGUGCACUACAUUUUUAACCUACAGCACCAAGAGGAGGCUGUCUGUGCACUUGAAUUCAUUCAAAGGCAAGGCUUGUGUUACCUAAAAGACCUUUUUCAAAGCAGUCAUUCUGACAUGAAAUUGCGCUUCAUUUGAAUCAACUUGGAAAGAGGGUCCGAAGUCUGUCAGUCAAUCCCCGAGAUUGUAACUUUCCGGAUGAAGACAAGUGGUGGUUAGGGAGACGAAAAAACAGGGGAAACAGGGGGAAACACAUGCGAGCAGUAAGGACAAACUCCACAAACAAUACAACCAAGACUGGAAGACACAGUCCUCAGUGAAUGUUUUGACUUUCAACAUUUAAAUGAAUAAAUGUUUCAAGUUCCUGAGGCCAUAAAGUUGGCCACUAAGAACAUGUAUGCUUUGUUAAACAAACAUAUGCCUUGGCUUUUUCAAACUUUUAUUUUAAAAUAAUUUUGGCUUUAUUAAGCCAGCUGGAGAUAUGAUAGGAAACAGGAAGGGGGGGGCGCUA